rnacentral:lncRNA from 1 species
GAGAGGGCUGGGUCCUUAGGGUCUCACAGGGUCAAAAUGGAGGCAGAUGCUGGAUGGCGCGCUUAUCUGGACGUCCUUGAGAAGAAGAAUCAGCUUUCGACCUCCUUCAGGCUGUUGACAGAAUUCAGAUCCUGUGGCUGGUGAGGACGGAGGACCCCUUCCUUGCUGGCUGUCAGACCAGGCAAUUUGAAAGGAAGAGAGGAUUUAGGCGCCAUACUCAAGGUUACCUGGGUAAGAAAUGAUGGAGCAAGAAUGUCACCCAUGGGACCACACCCCUGAAUCUAUAAAUUGGAGUGUUUCUGCAAAUUCUAAGAGGUUCUUAACAUUAUCCAGAAUGGUGCCCUGGUGGACGAUCAUGCACCUUG